rnacentral:rRNA from 1 species
GACGAACGCUGGCGGCGUGCUUAACACAUGCCAGUCGAACGGUGAAGCUCCAGCUUGCUGGAGUGGAUCAGUGGCGAACGGGUGAGUAACACGUGAGCAACCUGCCCCUGACUCUGGAAUAAGCGCUGGAAACGGCGUCUAAUACUGGAUACGAGAAGGGUCCGCAUGGGCACUUUCUGGAAAGUUUUUCGGUUGGGGAUGGGCUCGCGGCCUAUAAGCUUGUUGGUGAGGUAAUGGCUCACCAAGGCGACGACGGGUAGCCGGCCUGAGAGGGCGACCGGCCACACUGUGACUGAGACACGGCCCAGACUCCAACGGGAGGCAGCAGUGGGGAAUAUUGCACAAUGGGCGAAAGCCUGAUGCAGCGACGCCGCGGUAGGGAUGACGGCCUUCGGGUUGUAAACCUCUUUCAGCAGGGAAGAAGCGAAAGUGACGGUACCUGCAGAAGAAGCACCGGCUAACUACGUG